CACCUAGGGUAUGGAUUGUCAC
rnacentral:siRNA from 1 species